AUGUAACUGCCAUAGGGAUAAGAAGCCCGGAAAGUUCUCCGAAUACAUUUCCAAUUUCCUGCUUAAUUCCCUAUCUACACCCCUGGGUAUCUGAGGCUAGUCAUCUCAACGUGGAACAUAUACGUGAUACAAGUUUCAAUCAUCCAAGAAGAGGGAACCUCAAUUGAAAACAUGUCUCUAACAUAUAAGCAACCCUGUUCCUGCUUUGAAUUCCUGCCCUGACUUCCCUUAAUAACGG